rnacentral:rRNA from 1 species
GGUUGAUUCUGCCAGUAGUCAUAUGCUUGUCUCAAAGAUUAAGCCAUGCAUGUCUAAGUAUAAGCAAUUAUACGGCGAAACUGCGAAUGGCUCAUUAAAUCAGUUAUCGUUUACUUGAUAGAUCCAUACUACUUGGAUAACCGUGGUAAUUCUAGAGCUAAUACAUGCGAAAAACCGCGACUUCGGAAGCGGUGUAUUUAUUAGAUUAAAGACCAAUGCCCUUCGGGGCUGACUGGUGAUUCAUGAUAACUUCACGAAUCGCACGGCCUUGCGCCGGCGAUGGCUCAUUCAAAUUUCUGCCCUAUCAACUUUCGACUUUAGUGUAGUGGACUAAAGUGGUUGCAACGGGUAACGGAGGGUUAGGGCUCGACCCCGGAGAAGGAGCCUGAGAGACGGCUACUACAUCCAAGGAAGGCAGCAGGCGCGCAAAUUACCCAAUCCCGACCCGGGGAGGUAGUGACAAUAAAUACUGAUACAGGGCUCUUUUGGGUCUUGUAAUUGGAAUGAGUACAAUUUAAAUCUCUUAACGAGGAACAAUUGGAGGGCAAGUCUGGUGCCAGCAGCCGCGGUAAUUCCAGCUCCAAUAGCGUAUAUUAAAGUUGUUGUGGUUAAAAAGCUCGUAGUUGAACCUGGGCCUCGCGCAGACCGGUCCGCCUCACCGCGUGCACUGGUCCUGCCGGGGCUUUCACUAGGGGAUUCGCAUGUCCUUCACUGGGCGUGUGCGGAACCUGGACUUUUACUGUGAAAAAAUUAGAGCGUUCAAAGCAGGCCUAUGCUCGAAUACAUUAGCAUGGAAUAAUAGAAUAGGACGUGUGGUUCUAUUUUGUUGGUUAUGGGACCGCCGUAAUGAUUAAUAGGGACAGUCGGGGGCAUCAGUAUUCAAUAGUCAGAGGUGAAAUUCUUGGAUUUAUUGAAGACUAACUACUGCGAAAGCAUUUGCCAAGGAUGUUUUCAUUAAUCAGGAACGAAAGUUAGGGGAUCGAAGACGAUCAGAUACCGUCGUAGUCUUAACCAUAAACUAUGCCGACUAGGGAUCGGGCGAUGUUAUUUUUUGACUCGCUCGGCACCUUACGAGAAAUCAAAGUCUGUGGGUUCCUGGGGGAGUAUGGUGGCAACGCUGAAACUUAAAGAAAUUGACGGAAGGGCACCACCAGGAGUGGAGCCUGCGGCUUAAUUUGACCCAACACGGGGAAACUCACCAGGUCCAGACACAAUGAGGAUUGACAGAUUGAGAGCUCUUUCUUGAUUUUGUGGGUGGUGGUGCAUGGCCGUUCUUAGUUGGUGGAGUGAUUUGUCUGCUUAAUUGCG